AGGACCCUAUCAAGAAGGAAUCCGGAGAGGAACUAAUAAAGUAUGUUGAUACUUUUACCAAAGAUAUAUUCGGUUCAUUCAAAGGCGAUCCUACAACACAAACCAGUGAGAAUUAAAUUGAUUACGUGGAGAAUUCUCUUGGUAAAUUUGAUGAUGGGCCUUUCUUCUUUGGCGAAUUUAGUUUGGUGGAUAUUUCACUGAAAGGUUCUAAAUUGUCUUCUCUGAAGUAUUCAAGCAUGACAUGACAUUACAGUUGGAAGACCUAAUUUAGCAACAUGGACUAAGGAGUUGAACAAUAACGAUGCUUAUAAGCAAACAAAAUUGCUUGAUCCACAACAGUUCGUUGACUUUAUCAAAAAACGCUUCUUGGGUCAGUAAUAUCAUCAUAUAUACAGAAGCAGGUGUCUAUGACAUUAUCCACAAAGUGAGAGGUGAAUGCAUCAUAAAAUGAUUUAAGUUUUUUACUACAAACUUAUAGGCUUGUGCAUGUAAUGGCCAGCGAUGCCAAUAGUUUGAAUUUGUUAUAGCAGUAAUACUAUUUCUGUACUAACGUG